rnacentral:rRNA from 1 species
CACGUAGGAUUCAAGCGUUAUCCGAAUUUACUGGGCGUAAAGCGCAUGCAGGCGGUUUGGUAAGUUGGAUGUGAAAGCUCCUGGCUCAACUAGGAGACGCCGUUCAAAACUACCAGACUUGAGGACAGUAGAGGAAGAUGGAAUUCCCGGUGUAGUAGUGAAAUGCGUAGAUAUCGGGAGGAACACCAGUGGCGAAGGCGGUCUUCUGGACUGUUUCUGACGCUCAGAUGCGAAAGCUAGGGUAGCGAAUGGG